UACGGCGUUCACCGUAAGGGAUAAUUUACACGAUAUUUAUGUAGUCUGGGUCGUUACGGACGUGGCAAUAUCAAACAUAUGGGGGAGAUUUUUUUUUUUUUGCAAUUUUUUUCAUUGAAAAGCAUAUUUUAUUUAACCACUUA